rnacentral:Y_RNA from 1 species
AGCUGGUCCGAUGGUAGUGGGUUAUCAGAACUUAUUAACAUUAGUGUCACUAAAGUUGGUAUACAACCCCCCACUGCUAAAUUUGACUGGCUUUAA